CGUAGGUCACAGCAGGAUACCUAUAUCCUACUCAAAAUUUGGAAUAGCCCGACUGAAGAAGUGCCUCGACCUUACGGAAGAUCACAGCUAGAUAAUAUUGCUUUCAAACAGUGUUGUGUUUCUGUGACGAGUGAGGUGAACAGAGCUCCUGGGGAGGAUUAGGAUAAAGCCGGCAACGCGCUCGCGUUGCUUCUGGCGUUGCAGGCGUCUAUAAGUUACGGUAAUCGCUUACUGUCAGGUGAGACGUACAUUUGUUGUCGACCUAGUUGUAUAAAAAAAUAAUAAUUGUAAAUACACAUAGGCAAACAACAAACAAACUAGUAAGUAGUUUAACAAAUCUGUGACCCUACACGUGUGAAACCGGGCGAAUCGUCCAGAUCAAUAAUAAAACAAGCAAAGUCAUCGGCAGAAGUGAGUCAAGCAAAAUAUGUCAAUAGAGAACGUUUAAGACAGACGUCAUCGAUAAUAUUCACCGUUUGUUUGCAGAUACAUUAACGAUUGAUUAAAUUGCAUUCGCAACCUGCGCGGAUGCAUAAUAUCGUAUAUAAUACCCGGUUUAUUGCUCCAUUACACAAGAUCUAUUUAUAGCCUUCGAUUUGCUCACUUUGAAUAUGUAUGGGGUUCCGUGAAGUUUAUUUUUUGAUUUCUUCGAAUAUGUCAAACUCGAUUUAACAAAUAGUUG